UACAGAGGUCCCAAGCGUUGUUCGGAUUCAUUGGGCGUAAAGGGUGCGUAGGUGGCGUCGUAAGUCGGGUGUGAAAUUUCGGAGCUCAACUCCGAAACUGCAUUCGAUACUGCGGUGCUUGGGGACUGGAGAGGAGACUGGAAUUUACGGUGUAGCAGUGAAAUGCGUAGAGAUCGUAAGGAAGACCAGUGGCGAAGGCGGGUCUCUGGACAGUUCCUGACACUGAGGCACGAAGGCCAGGGGAGCAAACGGG
rnacentral:rRNA from 1 species